rnacentral:rRNA from 1 species
UCGAGCGGACCGACGGGAGCUUGCUCCCUGAGGUUAGCGGCGGACGGGUGAGUAACACGUGGGUAACCUGCCUGUAAGACUGGGAUAACUCCGGGAAACCGGGGCUAAUACCGGAUGCUUGAUUGAACCGCAUGGUUCAAUUAUAAAAGGUGGCUUUUAGCUACCACUUACAGAUGGACCCGCGGCGCAUUACCUAGUUGGUGAGGUAACGGCUCACCAAGGCGACGAUGCGUACCCGACCUGAGAGGGUGAUCGGCCACACUGGGACUGAAACACGGCCCAAACUCCUACGGGAGGCAGCAGUAGGGA